UUCCGGUUGAUCCUGCCGGACCUGACUGCUAUCGGAUUGAUACUAAGCCAUGUGAGUCAUUGUAGCAAUACAAGGCAGACGGCUCAGUAACACGUAGCCAACCUACCCUAUGGACGGGGAUAACCUCGGGAAACUGAGGAUAAACCCCGACAGAUCAUUUUACCUGGAACGGUUUAUGGUCCAAAUGAUUCGUCGCCGUAGGAUGGGACUGCGGCCUAUCAGCUUGUUGGUGAGGUAAUGGCCCACCAAGGCUAUUACAGGUACGGGCUCUGAGAGGAGAAGCCCGGAGAUGGGUACUGAGACACGGACCCAGGCCCUAUGGGGCGCAGCAGGCGAGAAAACUUUGCAAUGUGCGCAAGCACGACAAGGUUAAUCCGAGUGUUUCCUGCUAAAGGAAACUUUUGCUAGUCCUAAAAACACAAGCGAAUAAGGAGUGGGCAAGUUCUGGUGUCAGCCGCCGCGGUAAAACCAGCACCUCAAGUGGUCAGGAGGAUUAUUGGGCCUAAAGCAUCCGUAGCCUGCUUUGUAAGUUUCCGGCUAAAUCCAUUAGCUCAACUGAUGGGCCGCCGGAAAAACUGCAAAGCUAGGGAGUGGGAGAGGUAGACGGUACUCGGUAGGAAGGGGUAAAAUCCUUUGAUCUAUUGAUGACCACCAGUGGCGAAGGCGGUCUACCAGAACACGUUCGACGGUGAGGGAUGAAAGCUGGGGGAGCAAACCGGAUUAGAUACCCGGGUAGUCCCAGCUGUAAACGAUGCAGACUCGGCGAUGCCCCGGCUUGUGGCCAGUGCAGUGCCGCAGGGAAGCCGUUAAGUUUGCCGCCUGGGAAGUACGUACGCAAGUAUGAAACUUAAAGGAAUUGGCGGGGGAGCACCACAAGGGGUGAAGCCUGCGGUUCAAUUGGAAUCAACGCCGGUAAUCU
rnacentral:rRNA from 1 species